rnacentral:rRNA from 1 species
GAGUUUGAUCGUGGCUCAGAUUGAACGCUGGCGGCAUGCCUUACACAUGCAAGUCGAACGGCAGCAUGAUCUAGCUUGCUAGAUUGAUGGCGAGUGGCGAACGGGUGAGUAAUACAUCGGAACGUGCCCUGUAGUGGGGGAUAACUAGUCGAAAGAUUAGCUAAUACCGCAUACGACCUGAGGGUGAAAGUGGGGGACCGCAAGGCCUCAUGCUAUAGGAGCGGCCGAUGUCUGAUUAGCUAGUUGGUGGGGUAAAGGCCCACCAAGGCGACGAUCAGUAGCUGGUCUGAGGGGACGAUCAGCCACACUGGGACUGAGACACGGCCCAGACUCCUACGGGAGGCAGCAGUGGGGAAUUUUGGACAAUGGGCGAAAGCCUGAUCCAGCAAUGCCGCGUGUGUGAGAAGGCC